AAGUGGAUAAAAUGUUGCUUGAGGUGGGAGACUCUAUUGAUGAGAGAAUUGAACAGUUAGAGGUGAUUGAUCCUAGCUUUCGAGGAGUCAAUGGUUUGAAGAAGAAAGCUGGAGUUAACAAACGGAAGGGUAAGCGUUUGAAACCUUGGUAUGAGAAGAAUGAAAAGAGGAAAAAAGUUACUGCCACACCUACUAGUCUUUAUUAGGAUGUUCCAAUGCCCUAUGUGCCCGAAAUGAUCAAUUGCGAAUCUAAUUUGUCUUCCCAAACAACAUUCCAUCCACAAAUUUUUUAGGUGACGGGAGAUGAGACAUUCUUGCAAGAUGAUUAUUUUUUUUGAGUUGAUUAGUGCUUUGCACCAAUCCCGACAAAACUAGAAUGUGAAUGAAGAGGGAGAUGCAUUCGAGUUGGUUUUUGAAGAGGGAACAUGCCGUCUUUGUUGAAAAAUAUUCGACUGAAAA